CACCGCCGCGGUAAUACAGAGGGUGCGAGCGUUAAUCGGAUUUACUGGGCGUAAAGCGUGCGUAGGCGGCUUCUUAAGUCGGAUGUGAAAUCCCUGAGCUUAACUUAGGAAUUGCAUUCGAUACUGGGAAGCUAGAGUAUGGGAGAGGAUGGUAGAAUUCCAGGUGUAGCGGUGAAAUGCGUAGAGAUCUGGAGGAAUACCGAUGGCGAAGGCAGCCAUCUGGCCUAAUACUGACGCUGAGGUACGAAAGCAUGGGGAGCAAACAGGAUUAGAUACCCCAGUAGUCCCUGUCUCUUAUACA
rnacentral:rRNA from 1 species